rnacentral:rRNA from 1 species
UACGUAGGGUGCAAGCGUUAAUCGGAAUUACUGGGCGUAAAGCGUGCGCAGGCGGUUUUGUAAGUCUGUCGUGAAAUCCCCGGGCUCAACCUGGGAAUUGCGAUGGAGACUGCAAGGCUAGAAUCUGGCAGAGGGGGGUAGAAUUCCACGUGUAGCAGUGAAAAUGCGUAGAGAUGUGGAGGAACACCGAUGGCGAAGGCAGCCCCCUGGGUCAAGAUUGACGCUCAUGCACGAAAGCGUGGGGAGCAAACAGG